GACUGUCAGAUGGCAUUACAGAUGAAGAGUGAGAGCAGUGAUUACAUCAAUCUCAAUUUUGAUCCUAGAUGCUCCCUUAAAAAAGUGGGGAAGGCAAAUAAUAGCUGCAUGUAUUUAUAAAGGAAUUCUGAAGAAGGCUUGGCACAAUUCUUGUAAGGGUGAUGAAUAGGCACUGCUAUAAGAGAAUGGACGCUUAGCAGCAUGCGCUAUGGGGAUGCUACUGAAACAUCAGCAAGUGCUAAGUCGGGUGGCACCUCGUUGUGACUUACAGUGCUGAUUUACCUCCUGGUGGUAGAAUUAGAAAAUAGGGGGGGUUUCCAGUACAGGUGAUCUUUUUCAAUGCUAAUUUACCAUCUGCUAGGAACAGGUGGUGUUUCCCUUCGAGCAUAGUUCUAUUGUAAGGAAAUAAAAUGGUGAAUUUUCCAUUCCAGGACAUUUUUGUUCAAAGAAAAGUUGAGAAUCUGCAUAAUUUCCAAUGGGUAUAGAUACCUGCCAGAGAACUGUGAUGUCUUGAAGAAACAAAACUCCAAUGUACCAUGUUUCUCAGCAGAAUAUCUCAUCUCUGGCAGACCUAUGGUGGAAAUGGCAGAGUUGAUUUUUCAUAUAAUUUGGAAGAAACAUGACAUAGCAGAGCUCACCAGAGAACCAGAAAAUACAGAGAGAGACAGAGAGAGAGAAAGAAAUUCCUUGGUAUUAAUUUUGAGCAUCUGCACCACUCAUAUAUUUGUGCCCAGCUGGAACUCCUUGCUUUGGUAUCAUGGGACAGGUACUGGAUCUUUGUGAACCGUACUUUCAAAUGUUGAAACCUAAGUUGCUCCUUAGGUACUCUGAGACUUGAUAAUAUGGGUCUGGGGCUGCUGUCCACUGGUUGUCCAUAUCAGCUACUUGUUAAAUUUUGCAUUUAGAUAUGAAAUUGUUGUGGAAUUUGAGUUUUUAAAAAGUAUCAGAAGUACUACUAAACAUGUACAGAAGUUAUCCUUCUGUAAUUCCAUUUUACUUACAUUACUACACCUGUACAUUUUUAGGAAAAAGAUAAAAAAGACUUCAAGCUUAAGUGUUCUCAGAUGUGAAAAGACACUGAUUGUACUGAUAAUUUUAUGUAUUGCAUUCAUGCUGGAUGAACUACUUCAGGCACAGUGUCUUUAGAUGAAAUAAUUAUUUUUCUACCAAAACUAAGAUAAAAAGAGGAUGGAGAUAUUCUGGAGAGCCAAUGAGAUGUACCUGACCAACAUUAUGAGAAUCAGAACCUUGUCCAUGAGGUUACAAUUUAAAGCGAGUCAUGUUCCGAUGUUGCUUAUAUUCAGGACAGUUGUGUGCACCCCAGAUCUUAAUGAUACAUUUUAAAGAUAUCCAGACUCUAUACAAAGAAUAUUAGAGGU
rnacentral:lncRNA from 1 species